GGCUUUAUAGUCAAUUUUAUGAUAUUAGACUGCAAUUCUAAAGUAGGUUAAACCUAAAGCUU
rnacentral:tRNA from 1 species